UAGACAGAUAUUACCAUUAUUUCUCUAUUAUCUAGAAAUUUUUCACCAGACUCACGUUCACCAGCAUCCUGGAGUGUACAUGGCAGAGUCGGUGCAGGCAGAGGUACUAGCUGGAAAGGAAAUUGUUGCAGAAUAUAUUGGCUUAGAUCCUACUGUUCUGGGAUCAGAAGGAGAGUUAAUGAAGUUCUGUGGACAUGUUCAACUGAGGAACCUCUUUUCACACAUUUUGUGAGUCAGUGCAGGCCCUAGCCAUGCGUUUUGGUGAUGAAGUUAAUAAGUGGAGCUGAGGCACUCAGUGCCAGUUUAACUUUUUUUUUGGUUGGUCCAUAUUUUUGUUUCUCUGCCCAUGUUAAAGACACUCCGUUUUGUUUAGUAAUAGUGAAAGAGUUCCAAUGAAAUUGUCUGUGAGUCAAAAAGAGAAUUAGUACAAAUUUCUAACAAAUCAGUUUUUUAAUGUCUCUUACUGCUCUCAUUCUUACAAAGGUGACUAGAAAAGGCUGUCCUUGCAUUCAGCUGCUUUUCCUAAGUUCACUGCCUCAGCACUCAGUUAAAAUGAAGAAGUACUGAAUUUCAUCUUUUUCUGGGUAUAUCUUCAGUAUUGAAUACCCUGCUAUUAAUCCACAGCUAAACAUAGCUAAUUCAGCGCUGCACAACUGUAUAAUUUGAAGAAAACCCUCUUUCUUCCCUCACAAAUUUUUGAUAAGUAGAAUAUGUUGGUUUGGUGCUUUGCUUGCACUGUGUGUCUUUAUGUGCAUGAGUUAAGCUUUUGCAUAUCCAUUGCUGCAGGUGAGCUGUACAGAGUAAAUGAAAAUAGUUUUCCUCACCAAGUGUUACUCACUUGGCAGGGCCUUUUUAUUAUGGACUGUAAUUAUUCCCUUAGUUCCACCUCAACAUUUUUAUUUUGCCAUUGCAUAAUCAGCCAGGUUUUUUUCUGUGUAUGUCAUCAGGAUUUUGACACCUUUGUAUAAGACACUGUAUAAGGUAACUUAGUAUUGUAUUCUGCAUUCAUUUUAGUGCUUAAUGGAGAUAUACAGUCAUGGGUGUAAUAGUGACAUCAGCUCAUUAAAAUAAAUGCCAUCCAAAGCCAAGCUCUAGUAGCCUGCAUAAGCCUAUAAUAAGCUUAUGCGGGGGUGGUUAAUCCUCAUUGUGAUUUGGUAUAAUGUCAUAAUAAAACAGUGACAUCAGGGAAAGGGCAGAAGGGGCAAUAAAUGUGCUCUGCAAGUGUGGCCAAAGGCCCCUGCCAUCCCUCCUCCUCAACCAACAGCAGGACCAGAGCUGAGCAGGUUCAGGUUACAACUGAGGGCAACUGAAAAGGGCUUUUCUGUUAACUGAGGCAGAACACUGCAGAGCAAUAAAUAUCUUGGGGUGGCUUUCCUCGGUGAUGCAUCAUGGACAUGCACAGACAGACAGAAGGUGUGGAACAAUAUGUGGCCAUCCACUGGCUUGCUUCCCAAUGGAGUGUACGGCCUUGCAGGUCCUGUUCACCAAAGGAAACAUCUCAGAAUCAGGAUUCCCAGUUUAGGCCCCAAAGUUCCUAAUUUUUUGCCUGUGUGCAAGGGUUUGGAUGAGAAGCAAGCGGGCUGCCCCCAGCAUCAUCAGGCAGCAGGGUACCCUCACUCCCCAGAGAGGGGGUCACAGGUAGGUACUGAGCAGGGCCAGGGCUCAGGAUUCCUGUUCCCCAGAGUGGUGUGCCAGUCACUGAGCCAGCAUAAGGAAGGAGGGUGGAAGCUUUAGACGGCGCUUUUGCCUCACACUUGGUUGAAGUGGUAGCUAUAGUUGGUUUUUCUUGGUGUUCUUUCUGUCAGGGUUAGGUUUCCUCUGAAAACAGAAAAAGCCCUCAAUGGUAGCUCUUUGAGUUCAUCAUCUUUGGCAUUUUGCCUUUUGUACUCUUCAGCAACACAACAGUAUGGGUUUUCAAGUCACAUUUGGAAACCUGGGCACCUGGCUCUUGCUGAGACUUGCUGCAGUGUUUUUGACAACAGGUUCAUAGGACAAGGAGUGCAGACUUGGCUGCCUCCAGUUAGAUCCCUGACUAGCCUGAAUUCAUAGAGAUAAAGAUGUCCGGUAAUUCUCAGGUUCUGAUUUUUGUUCAGGUUCUGUGUUGAAGGACAGAGACCUGUGUAGAUGUGGUCUAAGAUAUGAUUUCUUGGUGGUUUGUGCUAUCAUCUAGCAACAGCUUGAUUCAGUUUGCUUCAUCAAGGGAGCUAAUAUUUUUGACAAUGCUUAGCCUUCGCUGAUAUUUUUUCAUGCCAGUAAAACGGGAAGCAAUACAGGACUAGUAAUGCUGACAGCCACUACCAAUACCACUACCAACAAAGAUUUCUCCUGAGCCAUGAAAAACUAGGAACAGAAAGUUGUUAAGACACAAAUCUCUUUCAGCCUAAAUGUACUUAUCGGGCCUGCCACCAAAGAUGAUGAACCUAAUAUUUAGCUCAAGUUGCUUGUUCUAAGAACACAUUUUGUAAGGAGAGGAAAGAGUUACUAGUUCAGCACAUUGGGGCUGACAUACUGGUCAAACACUGUCAAGGUUCAGUCUUUUUGUAGGCUGAGGUUGCUUCACCAAGUUAUUUGAACUCUGCCAGUUUCCCACACUAAGAUCAGUGCUGUAACAUCUGUGAAUGUUUUGGAGUAUCUUUUUUUUUUCUGGCUUUGUUUCUUUUUUUUUUUAAUGUGUGGUAUUACAUAUUGGAAAUUUAUCUCUAUAUCAUUGAAGAAACCUGUUUCUAAUCCAUUUGAACCGUUGGUGUAUUUUUCUGGAGCGCUGCCAUCUUUUCCUAGAGCUAGAAUCAGCUAAAUUUAGAUAUCUGCUUUCUUAGGACCUAGCAAUGGACUGCCACAGCUUCCAAAUCUGAAGAUGCAUGUGUUUGUGCCUGAAACCAUAGCUGAAUGCUGGUUAAACUCACUUGCAGAGUUCUUGUGUGAAUGGGAGUUUCUUGCCAUGAAUACGUUUUACAGGGUCAGGUUGAAUCCUGUGAGUUGAGUAAGAACUUAGUCAGAAAGAGAAAAAGAGAAUUUGCUUGUGAUUUGAACCUGUGCAAUACCAGCAGAGAAGUGCAGUACUGCUUGAGCAGUGCACUGGUAGUCUCUCUGCAUAGUGCAGCAGUGUGGAAAACAGGCCUGGUUAUAUGCGGAUUUGUAAGCAGUGGCACAUGUCACAUGGGAUUAAGGACUCCUGGAAGGACACACAAUUUGUGGUGCUGCUCCCAUUCUCCCUCCCAGCUGCCCUCAGUUCCCUGCUGGCCUCCUGCCUCCUCUGUAAAACUCCAGCUGAAAUGGAGAAAUGGGAUGGGUGGCAGCAUGCCAGAUGCCCGGGCAUCAAACACCGCUUAUAUCUCUGAUGGACACCCUGCCGUCCAUCCCUGGGGUGACUCACUUCUUCAUGCCUCAUGUAGCUCAAAGAACUUAUUCACUCCUGGACAAAUUUGUGCAAAUAUUGAUAUAGCUGCCUUGUUUUGCAUUGGCCCUUUUGAAGGUUGGCUUUUUUGUUUAGGUUGGCUGGCUGGUGAUUUGCCACUACCAUUAUAACUUUCUUUGACUAGAAAGGUGUAAGUAGAACUGGUUUUUGCUACUUCCGAAAAAGUAUGUGGAAAUGCUUUGGAAAGUUAAAUUGAAAGUUGUGAUCUGGAUACUUAGUGCUCUCUGAAAACCAAGAAAAUGCUUUGUCAAAAGAUGUUGAAAUUAUUGAUUAUUUCCACUUUGUUGGGUUUAAUUUACAGCUGGUUUUGUGACUUUCAGCUGAAAGCAGAUUAGUUAACUUUAAUCUGAAACUGUUGUCUAAAUACUCAAUGACCUAAUUCAUUAACCUGAGCUAUGUUUUAUCAGUAUUUACUAAAAAAUACCAGCAGUGAUUUUACAAUAAUUUUGAAAAAAGUAGAACUACAUUGUCAGUGGAAAUGUUGACAGUGUUGACAGUUUUUCACAAAGAACUUCUGUACUUAUUUAAAGACCAUUUUUUUUAAAAAAUAUUUAUUUGAAAAAUACUGAUGUUGAAUACUUGAAUGAAUUUGCUUCUUUGGUGGUAAAACUGGUGUAAGUGAAUGAGAGUGCAUAAUAAGUGUGGCAAAUAUUGAUUUCAGUAAGAUUUUCAAUAACGUUUUAUAUGAUAUUUUUUAUAACCAAAGGGGAGGAAAUAUGGUCUAGAUGAAACUGUUACAAGGAGUUGAUGCAUAACUAAUUAAAAAAGAAAAGCUGCAUUCAAAAAAGAGUUAUCCAAGUUUAGUUAUCAUACCAGGGAGAUAUUGCAAGUGAGGUCCCUGAGGUCAGUUCUCUGUCACUUCUAUUCACUAUUUCCAUUAAUGAGCUGGACUAUGUAGUAAUAUUUAUAAAAUGUGUGCGUGACACCAGGAGUUUUCAGGCUGUUUGUAGGACGUGAUCAGAGUUAAAAAUUAUGUUGGAAAAUGGAAGUAAUGUUGCAAAUUGGUAAAAUAGCAGCCAGUAAGGUUUGUGCUAGAGGACAAAGAAAUCAAAGGCAAAAUAUAAAAUGGCUUUUCAGUUUUAUUGCAGAAAAGUGUGAAGGAUGACAAACCUAAGUGAACCAACUAAGUAUUUCUGGGUCCAUUUAAAUUAGAUGAUCAUAUAUUUCCUUUCUUUCUCUAUGUUAUGCUUACUACUAUUAGUUACCUUUUUCUUCUGCUAAAACAGCAUCUGUAAGAUUCACUAGAUCAGUGUUGAUGCAUAACAGCCAUUCUUUGAGAAGAACAUUAUGGUGAAAAUGUUUUAUUCAUUAUCUCUUCUGUCAUAAAUCUCUAUCUGGAGCAAAAAUCCUGACCCUGAAUCUUUCUCCACAACUCAUGAGCCUAUGGCUAUUCAGUUUUAAUUGUGCUGUUCCAAUGAUUUAUGGCAUGGCCUUGGGUAAAUUGAACCUCCAUGUCAAUUUCCCUGUCUUUAGCUGGAGAUACUAAUAUUUCUCCUGUGGACAGCCUGAGAGUUAAUCUGUGUAAGGCUGUCUUGACAAUGUACAGUCCUCAAGCACUUGUCUAGCAGAAUCUUCAAAGUUUAGCUGUCACAUACCUAUGACACAGUAAGUAAUUGAAAAAUAGUCCAUAUUUAUGUUGGGACUAAGUUUUGAGGUUGAUUUUUUUUUUUAAGUACUUCUGUAAACUCAUGGUUUUCAGUCUUAUGGCUUGGAUAGGCAAUUUUUACUAUUUUAUUUUUGAGACUGCCGGUAUCAGGCAUGAGAGGAAAGAGCUCUGGAAAAGGCCUUUGUUUGUAAAGGUGGAUUAUUCAGCUGUAGUUGGACACUAUAACUUAUUACAAUACACGCUCUGGUGGCAGCUAUAAUAGUAGAGCAAGCCCCACCGGAGCUCCAAAAAUCUGGAAUGGGAGUCUGGCCAGAAAAACUGAAAGCCUUGAAGUAUGUUCCAUGGCAAGGAAAGAGAGGUUACGUUUCCCCUCAGGUGUCUUACAUUCAAAAGUGAUAAUUACCAUCAAAACAGAUAGAGAAGAUAAAUGCUGGAUAAGCUGGCAAGGAAAGGACCCAAGUUGCUGUCCGCCACAAACAGGAAUACCUGCCCAGCAUAUAGGAUGGUGUGUUAGUUUGAUAACAAAACACAAAUGUAUUAAGAAGUAGUUGAGGAGACCCUGUUUAUUUUACAAUACAUGAGAUAAUAAAGCCAUAUCAAUAGACUGGAAGAUAAUGCUGCAAUUCCAGUAUUUAUCUUAGUUGUAAGCAGUCUCUCAUUAAGGAGUGGAAGUGUCUUUACUUUGAAAUGGGACUAAUAAAGGCUGUGACCCCUUCAGCUUUUAAAAAAUAUGCAGCCUGAUAUGAUGAUAGUAGGUAGAGGAGGAUAUUUCUGGUGGGUCCUAACUAUGCACCUUCAUUUCAUUAAUUCAUUGAGCAAUAUGUUUAAACUAAAAUAAAUACCACAGUCCAGUUGGAAACAUAUCACUGAUGAAGAACUUGGCCUUUUUCAUGUCCAUUUUUCUUCUUUUAUGAUCUCAGUCAGUAAAUGGUUUGUAAUUUUCUCACAUUUUCUCUCAAUGGGGGACUCUUUCUCUGCAACUCAGAAUUAACAGAUUUCUGUUCAGGAAAUUAUAUAGUCAGUGAAUGCAACCAUUUGGUGGAAAGGAGGGAAAUAAUAGACCGGAAAUUAACUAUACCAUGUUUUGAUUCAGUUAUUUUCCCUACCCUUUCCCAUUCCCACAAACUCUCUGAAAGCACCAAAUCUACUCCAAGUAUUAGUCUGAGAAAUCACUUUUUGCUUGCAAGUAAAAUAUAUUUGCUCCAGCAGUUUUAGUUUCAUGCUACAAAGCACAUGUGGAUUUUAUGGCACAUACAUUGAAUGAUGACAUUGAAUAAUCACACUAGCCACUCAAAUAAUUUGGGUUUUGGUGUCAAAUGACAGAAGCUGGACAUUUCUUCUAAAGAGGCUGCUGAUGUACAGCUGAAUGCACACAAAGUAUUUAAUUGCACACUUGUCCCCGAGAAGGUUCCUUUACUAUCUGCUCCAAAGUGCUCGAGCAGCUUUAGGGGCAACUUCCAUCCCACCCCUCUUACCCAGGCCAAGCCCCUGACAACUUUAAAAUGCGAAAGUUCUGCAAAUGUAGAUGUUUAUAUGCUUCAUUGCUGGGCAAGCCUUCCUGAAAUCCAUGGAAGCUGCUGGGCUUCACUGCUCUAGAAUAUCCUAACAAGGACUCUGAUUCACCUCUGCCUGAGUUUUAGCAGCUGGACUUCAGAGGGUUUAAAUCAGAAAGAGCAGCCUCGAGAGGCUGGGCCUGAGCAGCGCUGGCCCCUUGCCCAGCUCUCUGCAUGCACAGCCCUUCCUGGGUUCCCCUGGGGCACUGCCCUUGCCCACGGUGGCAGAGGGAAAGUGUAACUUCAGAGUCUGGCUUCAGUCACUGGUACCUCGUGUAGGUCAUGCUGGCAGCAGCUAUUGUUCUGGAGCAUUUGAAGGGCAUCCAAGUUUUGGCAUCAUUAGAUUAUUGCCAUGGUGCUCAGGCUGCAGGUCCUUUACAAUAAAGGGGGUUUACUUUAUGUUCAGUCACUGUGAGCUGUUAUCUGCAGCUUUCAUCUAGUCUCCAUUAAUGAAAGAACAAAUAAUUCCAGGGACUAAAUAGAUGUUUGGCCAUUCAAAUAUAUGCAAAGUGAUAUGAUUUAUAAAUGGGAGGAAGUUGUUUUGCAAGACCAGAGUUCCAUUUGCUGUGGAAUUUCAAUUUAGCGUUGUGAAUCCAGUUAAAUCCUGAAAUACUAGACUUAAGAGAGCAGGUUCUUUCAUACUUUCAGCUGCCUUUCAGGUGAAGUCUCCUAAUGGCUGAUAUUUCUAGAUCCCAUUCUGUUUCAUUAGACGGUGAUUAUUUGUUAGUAGUAUUAACGUUGCUGCAAAGAGGAAAAUAGGAAUCUAUUCUCCAUGAUUUUGCUGAUUGAAAAAGAAGGAGUAGGCUUGAACUGCAGCAAGGAAGAUUCAGGUAAGACUUUGAGAGAAUAUCGCAUGAAGAACAGAGUUCUGAAGAAACUGGGUAGCUCCACCACUGUAGGCAUUCAAGAAGAGGUUAAAUCCAUUGCAGGAAUGCUUCUUAGACUUAAUGCUGCCUAAAAACAUGGGGAUGAACAUAAUGACCACUUCAGAUACCUUCCAACAGUAUUUUCUAUUUUUAUAGCCAGCAGAAUAUCUGAGGCUUGCUGUUGAAGUGUCCUGGCAAGGGAGAUGUUUUUCCUUUUGCUGAGUCUGCACAUGGCAUUCUUCAAAGUGAGGGAUACAGAAGGCACAACUGGCACAGUCGUGCAAGUUUUACUACAGCAUAGCCAAUGAUUGCCAAAGUAUUGCAUCACAGCCUCGCUUUCCAGCAGUUCCAGCCCUGUGGCAGGCUUCCACCUCUUGGGUCUGGAGGCAUUGCUUUCCCUGACGCUGCUCCCGAGGGUCAGAGUGGGCUGUUUUGCUGAGGGCCAGGAAUGUGACCUGCAGCUCAAGAAUCCCCAACUCUGGGUGAAGUUUUGAACUAGCUUGUUUGAAGUGAAUCAGGUGGGGCUCAGCAGCUCUGACACCAGUGCUGAACUCCUGCUGUACCACCACAACGGAGAAUUCGCCCCCCAUUUUCCCCUUUUUCCUCCCAGACUUAUGCAUUACUCUCUGUUUACCAAAACCACCUUAUUUACAGCUACAGAGGCUUUGGCAAAGCUGAGUCUGGGUUUUGUCACAGCUGGAGACCAGCUGCAGAUCAUCCUUGUGAACUGUCUACCCUGGAAGCUGAGGCACCAAAGAAUGAAGGCACUGUGGUGAGCCUGGCCCUCGAAGGCUGGAGGGAUUUGGAAUAGCUCUACCAUCACUGACAGCUGGCUGCCAUGGAGGCUGUCAGAGAAUGAAGCAUACCCUUGUUAAUGACAGCCAUUUCCUUAGAGCAUGAAAAUGAGAAAUCUAUGAUCACAGAUGAAGAAGCUGAGAAAUCUCAGGAUCUAUGUGUUCUGGAAGGUGGUAGAUUUUCAGACAACUCAUCAGUUGGGGGACAUGACUGAUUUCAGACUCUUGGUUGCAUUGCUUUCAAUGAAAACCAGUGACUUGCAGUUUCAGUUCUCAUCACAAAAGACGUUCUCACAGCAAUCUCUUGUUUGGAUGGUUUUCUCUUUUUCUGAGUGUGGAGUCUGAUGUUUGUCUGAGUUCUGUCCUUUAUAAUUUUUU